UUACAGGAUAUAGAUCUGUUGCAGAAAUAGAUGAAGUAGCCAAUGUGUCAACCAGUGAGAGACUCUGACUGUUAUUACUCUCACUUAGAUUGUUUUCUUCUAUCUCUUGAUCUACCUUCAAGCAUGCUUACCACUGAGGACAUUGUAGGCCUGAGGGAGGCAGUUGCAUUGGUGCAUAAAAGAGCCACAUUGAUCAUUGUAUCACCAUUAUGUUUAACGAGUGAAGAAGCAAGAAUAAGAGACCAAGAGUGUGAAACAUAGAGUAAAAGAGUGUGAGGGACAUUAUCAAGUGUCUUGAGUUACAAAAGAGAGUUAAUAAAAAGUGAGGUUUGUUUUUCAUAGAACUUCAUUAAAAGUGUUAAUAAUAGCAAUGUGAUAUACUCUUUAUUAAAUAGUCCAUAUGCUUAUUUAUUAAAGGUUAACUGCAUGCCCUAAAUUUAGGCUCA